rnacentral:rRNA from 1 species
CACGGGGGGAGCAAGCGUUGUUCGGAAUCACUGGGCGUAAAGCGCACGUAGGCGGCGCAGCAAGUCAGGGGUGAAAUCCCGGGGCUCAACCCCGGAACUGCCUUUGAAACUGCAGUGCUAGAAUCUUGGAGAGGCGAGUGGAAUUCCGAGUGUAGAGGUGAAAUUCGUAGAUAUUCGGAAGAACACCAGUGGCGAAGGCGACUCGCUGGACAAGCAUUGACGCUGAGGUGCGAAAGCGUGGGGAGCAAACAGG